CAGGUGGCUGUGAUUCACUGGGAGUGUAUGCAGAGUUUCUGAAGCAAGCUCAAAGGUUACCAUUGGUCAACUCUAUUCAACCCAGAAACUUGUUAUUGAGAGUCUAGAAAACAGAGAUAAUCUGAUCAUCUAGCACCAUGGGACCAUCCUCAGCAUUCUGUAGUGCUGCACAUCCAUAGUAUAUCCAACAUAGUGUGUAUGCACCCUGCCUGAAUUUGAAAAACUUAUCCAUCUAGUAAAAGAUAAAGCUUUAGAGAUGCUCAGUUUUUGGCAACCAAAACAGUCUAGAAUUUCUCUUUUUAUGGUUCAUGCACUAAAAUGUACUGCUAAGCCUACAAUAGCAUGUAAUGUAUUCCUAAUAUCCCCAUUGCUAGUAUUUCAUGUGUAAUGAGACUGUUCCUUGGCUUUAUUUGACAAUAAAAUUCCAUGAACCAAAUA